rnacentral:rRNA from 1 species
GACGAACGCUGGCGGCGUGCUUAACACAUGCAAGUCGAACGGAAAGGCCCUGCUUGCAGGGUACUCGAGUGGCGAACGGGUGAGUAACACGUGGGUGAUCUGCCCUGCACUUCGGGAUAAGCUUGGGAAACUGGGUCUAAUACCGGAUAGGACCGCACUUUAGUGUGUGUGGUGGAAAGUUUUUUCGGUGUAGGAUGAGCUCGCGGCCUAUCAGCUUGUUGGUGGGGUAAUGGCCUACCAAGGCGGCGACGGGUAGCCGGCCUGAGAGGGUGUACGGCCACAUUGGGACUGAGAUACGGCCCAGACUCCUACGGGAGGCAGCAGUGGGGAAUAUUGCACAAUUGGCGCAAGCCUGAUGCAGCGACGCCGCGUGGGGGAUGAAGGCCUUCGGGUUGUAAACUCCUUUCGCUAGGGACGAAGCUUUUUGUGACGGUACCUAGAUAAGAAGCACCGGCUAACUACGUG